rnacentral:lncRNA from 1 species
AGCAAAGGCCUACGACCGAGCCGCUUUUAACCUACGGGGCUCGAAAGCGAUUCUUAAUUUCCCUCUUGAAGCUGGGAGGUUGGAUGCAAGCGCCGUUGACGGAGAGAAGAAACGGAGCAGGGAUGAUGGCGAAGGCGUAGAAAGACAAGUAAAGUCGGUGAAGAGAGAAACCGAUGACCUGCCGAAAGCGAGAGAUAACGGUGAUAUGCCUUUGACGCCGUCAAUUUGGACAGCAUUUUUGGAUUGGGACAAAGACACGAAGGGGGUUUUUAACGUGCCACCAUUGUCGCCGUUAUCC